CAUCUGGUAGAACUUCGAUUAAUUUUGAUUUUCCUACUAAACAUAAAGUCAGACAGAGAUGGAUGGACUGUGGCCAUGAGAAUGUACUCAUUGCUCACUUGUGUGUGCAUGCAUGUGUUCGUUGCUUUAGAUGGGUGUGGCAGCGGGGGCGUGGUCAAGCGCCGGUCUGUGACAGGAGGGCAGAGUUGGGAAAGGUAUCUCACUCACUCACUCACUCACCCUGACACCUGUUGGCCAAUUAGUCUGUCAGCUGACAGCAUCUUAUGAGGCUAUCUACGUCUAUCUUGAGCCUGCUUCAUCCACCUUUGGUUUGUCAGGCCUGCUGUGGCUUCGCCAGACAAGCACCCAUUCACACUUAAAUCCAUCCAGAUCCAAACAUGGGAUCAUCAUUAUCCAAACCUG